CACGUAGUUAGCCGGGGCUUCUUAGUCAGGUACCGUCAUUUUCUUCCCUGCUGAUAGGGCUUUACAUACCGAAAUACUUCUUCACCCACGCGGCGUCGCUGCAUCAGGGUUUCCCCCAUUGUGCAAUAUUCCCCACUGCUGCCUCCCGUAGGAGUUUGGGCCGUGUCUCAGUCCCAAUGUGGCCGUACACCCUCUCAGGCCGGCUACUGAUCGUCGCCUUGGUAGGCCGUUACCCUGCCAACUAGCUAAUCAGACGCGGACCCAUCUCAUACCACCGGAGUUUUUCACACAAAACCAUGCGGUUUCGUGCGCUUAUGCGGUAUUAACAGCCGUUUCCAACUGUUAUCCCCCUGUAUGAGGCAGGUUAUCCACGCGUUACUCACCCGUCCGCCACUCAGUCAAAUGCUGCUUCCCUUUGAGCAAGCUCUCCAGUCUGCUGCAAGUGCUUCGUUCGACUUGCAUGUGUUAAGCACGCCGCCAGCGUUCAUCCUGAGCCAGGA
rnacentral:rRNA from 1 species